rnacentral:sRNA from 1 species
CGCUAUCUCUAUAAAGUAUACUAGAUUUUCAUCCGCAGUAUAGCGCGGGACGAUUUAUUUUUUAAAAGUAAUAUAUAUUAAAACUUAUAAAUUUU